rnacentral:rRNA from 1 species
CCUACGGGAGGCAGCAGUAGGGAAUAUUGGGCAAUGGGCGCAAGCCUGACCCAGCGACGCCGCGUGAGGGAUGAAGGUCUUCGGAUUGUAAACCUCUUUCAGUAGGGAAGAAGCGAAAGUGACGGUACCUAAAGAAGAAGCACCGGCUAACUAUGUGCCAGCAGCCGCGGUAAUACAUAGGGUGCAAGCGUUGUCCGGAAUUAUUGGGCGUAAAGAGCUCGUAGGUCGUUUGUCGCGUCGAUUGUGAAAAUCUGAGGCUCAACCUCAGACCUGCAGUCGAUACGGGCAAACUAGAGUGUGGUAGGGGAGACUGGAAUUCCUGGUGUAGCGGUGGAAUGCGCAGAUAUCAGGAGGAACACCAAUGGCGAAGGCAGGUCUCUGGGCCAUAACUGACACUGAGGAGCGAAAGUGCGGGGAGCGAACAGGAUUAGAUACCCUGGUAGUCCGCACCGUAAACGGUGGGCACUAGUUGUGGGAACCUUCCACGGUUUCCGCGACGCAGCAAACGCAUUAAGUGCCCCGCCUGGGGAGUACGAUCGCAAGAUUAAAACUCAAAGGAAUUGACCGG